UUCUCCGACCAAUCGCCAUCGCCGGAAACUCUCCCUCUUUUUCAUCUCUCACUUCUGCUUUCACUUCCCCAUCUCUCUUCUUCGUCUCGUCUCAUUUUUCCCUGUCAGUUCCUUCUUCGGCGUUUCUGGUCUUUGGCGUGAGUGGCAAAUGCAAGGGCAACACUUGAUCUUAGGCGGUCAAUUUCCGGACGAAGCGCUGCAGCGUGUUUUCAGGGCAACACUUGAUCUUCUAGUUGCAUAUAAGAAUCAGCUAGCUGGAGCAGCAAAGGAGACAGAAGUAUGCAGAGCUGAGAAGAGUGGAGAUCGAGAAGGAGAAGCAAAAGAAGGCAGCCGAAGCUGCUGCUACUCCUGUUCAUGCUAUAUGAUCUUUAAGCUUGGAUCAAAGUCAUAGUGAUAAGCACAAGAAGUCGUCAUUUUGGUGAAAAAAUGGGACAUUUGCAUCAAGCUGGAACUGGAUAGUUUGGUAAGUUUGUUUUAAAACAGAACAUUUGUUUGCAGAGCAAUUUUUUUUUUUUUGAGUGAACCCUUGAGAAGUUCACCAUUGGAGGGGAGAAUAUUUGUAAAACUAUA